rnacentral:rRNA from 1 species
UACGAAGGGGGCUAGCGUUGUUCGGAAUUACUGGGCGUAAAGGGCGCGCAGGCGGUCAACCAAGUCAGAUGUGAAAGCCCCGGGCUCAACCUGGGAACUGCAUCUGUGACUGCAUCGCUGGAGUGCGGCAGAGGGGGAUGGAAUUCCGCGUGUAGCAGUGAAAUGCGUAGAUAUGCGGAGGAACACCGAUGGCGAAGGCAAUCCCCUGGGCCUGCACUGACGCUCAUGCACGAAAGCGUGGGGAGCAAACAGG